UUUAAGCUGCAGUUUUGUAUAUUUUUAAUCAUUCUUUAUUUACAAUAGAUGCUGAUUAAAGUCACUUUAAAUUGGCUUCCGUGAUGGCUCACACAGAUAUUAGCCAAGUUACUGGUUUUUGGCCUAGACUGCGGCGGGGCAGUCGCCAGUCCGGCAGUCGAUCAUUGAUCGAUCGUUGAUCGUUGGCCAAGGAUGAAAAAAUGACUGAUAAAUGCAACAAAAUGAUGAAUGAGUUGGGAAAAAAGACAGAGAGACAUUGCCCUAGGGGGAGUUUUCAGAGAUCUAUGUAGGAAAUAAUCAAAGAAUUUCCAGAUGUCCAGGAAUGUUCUUGUCUCCCUUAGAAAUUCCCGGAUGCCAGAACCCCAGAAAGGUCUUUAAACGUUUCAAAAAAGUGCUAAAUGAUUGGGCUUAGCUCCAGCCAUGUUUAUUCUGCUCUCAAACUCAACUACUCCUUAAAUUUAAGUAGACUUUCAAUCCAUUAAACUCUUUUACAGAUCGUAAUCGAGCGGGUCGCAAAACUACACCCACAGCCGCCCCCUUAGGGCACACAUAUGUAUAUCUAUGUGUAUGUGUGUUCCUUUCCACUCCUAUUGGGAGUCCCAAUACAUAUCUGAACAUAUGCGUUCGCCGCACAGACAAUAAUUAGCCAUGGCAACAACAAAAAAUUGAAAGAAUUAUGAACAGAAAAAAGAAAAAAAAAAUAGAGGAGAGUAACGCCCUGGCGGCUCUACUUAGCCCUUAAAUCGCACUCUCUGUCGCCCACAGUAGCAGCGGCGACAGCGGCGACUGAGUAACAGUCACGUCAGGCGACAUAUGUCCAAUCUGUGGCAACCACCACCACAUCCUCGGACCACAUAUGGGUUCCUUAUUUCGGGCAAAAAACCGAAAGCCGAAUACCGAAAACCGAAAAGUAAACAUACUACCACUUCCUCGCCUUCCCAAUCCUCGUGUGUGAGUGGGUCUCAUAUUUGCGAUUUUUAUUUGCAAUCAAUCAUAAAAUAAACUGCCUGUCUCUGUGUUCCA
rnacentral:sRNA from 1 species